GAUCUGUCACGGAUAACCUAGUGGGAGGCCGACCGCCAAGUCAGUGACCUUGCUUCGGCGCAAGUCAGCGGGCACUGGUGCCUGGUACGAAUCCUGGGGUCGUCGUUGUACUCGUGCGAGUAAUCCACGAUGCUACAAGGCGUUAAGCAAUGAAAGUGACCCUUGAGGGAAGCAAUUCUGCAGAGACACUUUCACCCUGGGAUGGCGUCGCCAGAUUACACCGUCCCGUUACAGGGAAAUUGGCUGUUUGGUUGGACAACUGCAUCUU
rnacentral:SRP_RNA from 1 species